rnacentral:misc_RNA from 1 species
GAUGAAGAACGUAGCGAAAUGCGAUACUUGGUGUGAAUUGCAGAAUCCCGUGAACCAUCGAGUCUUUGAACGCAAGUUGCGCCCGAAGCCACUAGGCCGAGGGCACGCCUGCCUGGGCGUCACACGUCGUUGCCCCCCACCAUCUACUCCUUCGGGAUUGCGGGGGGCGGAUGAUGGCCUCCCGUGCGCCUAGCCGCGCGGUUGGCAUAAAUACCAAGUCCUCGGCGACGCACGCCACGACAAUCGGUGGUUGCGAAACCUCGGUUGCCCGUCGUGUGCGUUCGUCGCGCAUCGAGGGCUCGCAAAAAUGCUCGGCUCCGGCUCGGCUUUCAACGCGACCCCAGGUCAGGCGGGGUUACCCGCUGAAUUUAAGCAUAUCAAUAAGCGGAGGA